rnacentral:misc_RNA from 1 species
GAUGAAGAACGCAGCGAAAUGCGAUAAGUAGUGUGAAUUGCAGAAUUCCGUGAAUCAUCGAAUCUUUGAACGCACAUUGCGCCUUCUGGUAUUCCGGAAGGCAUGCCUGUUCGAGAGUCAUUUCACCACUCAAGCCUCGCUUGGUAUUGGGCGACGCGGUCCGCCGCGCGCCUCAAAUCGACCGGCUGGGUCGAUCGCACCCUCAGCGUUGUGGAAACUAUUCGCUAAAGGAGUUGUGGUCGGUCACGCCGUGAAACAAACCAAUCUUUCAAUGGUUGACCUCGGAUCAGGUAGGGAUACCCGCUGAACUUAAGCAUAUCAAUAAGCGGAGGA